UUUCUCUAUGAUGGAGAGGGUGGAGGCAGAUCAUUCCCACUCUGCUUUCUGGAUCAAUACUCUGCAUUACUGCUGGGAUGCCCUUCUGAGCAGACAUCUGUUGGUUCAGAAGGCUGGGAGCUGGCCCAGAAAGCAACUUUUAGUGGGUGUCAGCUGAGAGCUGCUUGCCUUCCCUCCUCAGUCAGGCCAACUUUCGCAUGAGAGAUGAGUAGAAGCAAGUGGGAUGGCUUUGUAUUAUCCAUUACAGGAACUUGGAGGCCAUCAUCAGCCAUCUCCGCUCCGAGCAUCUCCAUGAAAGCUGGCAAACCAGAAGCAUGCAGCCUACGCGCAUCCAAGAGCGUGUGCAGAAGGGGAGUUGAUUUCUCUUUAGAAGAAUUGAACUGUGAGGAAGUGACUGCUAUUCCCACGAAGAGGAGUGAUGUCUCAGUGCUUACUUUAGAUGGCUGUAUCCAGGCAGCAUCACUGAACAUAGUCCCCC
rnacentral:lncRNA from 1 species